rnacentral:rRNA from 1 species
UACGAGGGGGGGCUAGUGUUGUUCGGAAUCACUGGGCGUAAAGGGAGCGUAGGCGGGAGCCUAAGUUGGGUGUUUAAUUCCGGGGCCCAACCCCGGGCAUGCACUCAAAACUGGGUUUCUUGAAUAGGGGAGAGGUCGGUGGAAUUGGAGGUGUAGCGGUGGAAUGCGUAGAGAUCGGGAAGAACAUCAGUGGCGAAGGCGGUCUGCUGGGCCGUUGCUGACGCUGAGGCGCGACAGCGUGGGGAGCAAACAGG